rnacentral:rRNA from 1 species
UACGAAGGGGGCUAGGCGUUGCUCGGAAUCAUUGGGCGUAAAGAGCACGCAGGCGGUUUGGCAAGUCGGAUGUGAAAACCCGAAGCUCAACUUCGGGCCUGCAUCCGAAACUGCCCGACUAGAGGUAGGUAGGGGAGAUCGGAAUUCCAGGUGUAGCGGUGAAAUGCGUAGAUAUCUGGAGGAACACCGGUGGCGAAGGCGGCAUCCUGGACCAACACUGACGCUGAGGAGCGAAAGCCAGGGGAGCAAACGGGG